rnacentral:rRNA from 1 species
AGCGAACGCUGGCGGCAGGCUUAACACAUGCAAGUCGAGCGGGCAUCUUCGGAUGUCAGCGGCAGACGGGUGAGUAACACGUUGGAACGUACCCUUCGGUUCGGAACAACUCUGGGAAACUGGAGCUAAUACCGGAUACGCCCUUAUGGGGAAAGGUUGACUGCCGAAGGAUCGGCCCGCGUCUGAUUAGCUAGGGGGUGGGGUACCGGCCUACCAAGGCGACGAUCAGUAGCUGGUCUGAGGGGAUGAUCAGCCACACUGGGACUGAGACACGGCCCAGACUCGUACGGGAGGGAGCAGUGGGGAAUAUUGGAGAAGGGGCGCAAGCCUGAUCCAGCCAUGCCGGGUGAGUGAUGAAGGCCUUAGGGUUGUAAAGCUCUUUUGUCCGGGACGAUAAUGACGGUACCGGAAGAAUAAGCCCCGGCUAACUUCGUG